UAUUAGGCAGCCUUUAUUCCAAGCUUGUAGAUUUUCAGUGGAAACUGGGCAUGGCUGUGAGCUCCGACAGCUGCAGAUCUCUCAAGUAUCCGUACGUGGCAGUGUUGCUGAAGGUGGCAGAUCAUUCUGGCCAAGUGAGCAGCAAGUCCAUUGAAAUGACAAUCCCACAGUUUCAGAAUUUCUACAGACAGUUCAAGGAAAUAGCUGCUGUAAUUGAGACUGUGUGAGAUCUGAUUCAUGAUUCUAAAGUGAUGGACUCUUCCUUCCAGAAGAGCACUGCAUAUGGAUCACAGGAUAUUUAAACGGUGAAAAUUUGGCUUCUCGGGUUGGAGAGAUGGCUUGGAGGUUAAGAGCACUGGCUGCUCUUCCGGAGGUCCCAGGUUCAAUUUCCAGCACCCAUGUGGACGCUCACACCUGCCUGUAACUCCAGUACUGGAGGCCCCGACACAUGCAGGCAAAACACCAAUGCAUAUAGAGUAAAAAUAAUUAAGAAAAGAAUUUCGGGCUAGAGCAUUGACUGGUCUUCCAGAGGUCCUGAGUUCAAAUCCCAGCAACCACAUGGUGACUCACAACCAUCUGUAAUGAGAUCUGAUGCCCUCUUCUGGUGUGUCGGAAGACAGCUACAGUGUAUAUAUAAAUAAAUCUUUUUUUAAAAAAAUGAUUUCACUUCUAAUUUUUAAAAAUAAGUUUUAAAAAAAUCAGAUAAACCCUUAUUUUAGAGCUGACCAAUAUUUAGCCUGGUCAGUGAGCUAAAAGUGAGUGCGUUGACCACUAAUGUGUGUAAAUUAUGUGUUAUAUCUUCAUAAACAGAUAAGUAGGGAUAUUAUUAAAUCGAACUCAGUUCUGUGUAUUAGAAAAUUUUC
rnacentral:lncRNA from 1 species